rnacentral:lncRNA from 1 species
UUUUUUUUUUUUUUUUUUUGGUUUGGUUAUUUGGUUUGGUUUUCGUUUCUCCUUUUAACGAGCUGUCACCAUGAAUGUAUUCAAACAUUUUCUUGCAGCCUGGUUUAUAUCUAUUUCCAUAUAUUGGGAACCACACACAUAGUUUUCAUGUGAAAUCAGAUCCUUUAUCAGGCAUUUCAAACUUGAGCUCCUCAUCUAUGAUUUUGUUUCCUGGGCAGCAGCAGUGAUUUCUGGGUAAUUUUUAGGGGGAUGUUUUGUUUUUAUGUACCCAUAAAUCAGUGUAUCUUUAGUAAGAACAACACAUGUCUAAGUUUAAAAAGGUUUAGCAGGGAUUGGGGCAUAACUUGCUGGCAAGUUAAAGGUUAUAGGUUCAGAUCCCCAGCACCCAUGUAAAAACUGGAUGUGGUAGCCUAUAUGUAACCUUAACAGUGAGAUGCUGUGAAGGGUAGGUCCCUAGGGCCCAGUGGCCAGACAGACUUGAAAAACAAAAAGGCCAGAUUCAGUGAAAGACUGUCUCAAACAGGAAAGUGUAAAGUAACAGAGGAAGGCAUACAAAGUCAACUUCUGGCCUGUGUAUGCACAUACAUGAAUAUGCAUGCACAUACACACAUGCAUACCUAAUAAUAAUAAAAACAAUUGAAAUAAAUAAAAAUGAAAACAAAAGGCUUUAUUUAGUCAUAAUGGUAAAUUUGACCAAUGGUGUGACUUGUGCUUUCUGUAGCAUUUUGUAGUACUUGAACGCAUUGCACCCAUAAUUAGGAAGUAAGGCUGUGAACUUUCUCAAGAGUGUGAUUCCCCAUUUAGGUUACCACACAUUAAAAGACUUUGCUCUUACUUCUGGUUAUUAAUGAACUCAGGAAGCAAGUUCUCAUCUGGGUGCGCUGCCUUAGCUUGGUCACAAUAUGUUUGUCACUGGGCUUCAGUGGCUAGCCCUUUGGGAAGGUAUAAUUGAAAUAUAUAAUUUCUUUAAGGAAAUUUGACUUAGCAUUGGUAAAAAGGCUGUCUAACCUUGGAAACAAGUGCUUGAGUAGCAGACCCAACACUAUAAAGUGAGAGCUGUCCAAUCUUGUCUCUUUUGUUGCAAUUAACCUUUUAUUUAGUCCUAAGAAGAUUUCUGCAUUUUUAAUCAAGUUUUUCUGAUUUAAAAAUUCUUCUGUUAACAGUAAAUUAAGCCCCCAUAUAUGAAUAUUCUGCCACAUAAGUGCAUAUCUGGACUUCCUUAUAUUCCUUGUGUUGGACAGAACAUGUU